rnacentral:lncRNA from 1 species
AGCUGUCUGGUCCCUGGUGGCCUUGGACAGCAGAGCCAUGACACCCACCAAGGAGACCUGGUCUGCUGCACCACACAAGGGCUGUCUGCUGCCCGCCCAGGACCAGGCAGAGCUGCCGGAGGCAGGGGAGGAAGUUCUGCAGGAGCCGUGUCACCUUGAACCCAGAGAGCAGCGUCCUCAUCAGCCUGCUUCUGACAGCACAGCCAGCAGCGGUAAUUAACACGGAGCUGCUGGCACCUAAAUAAUACAGCAGUUAUCAUAAAUAAUACGCGGCCACAGGAAGAUCCAGUUAUUUAUAAAGGAAUCAAUGAUCGCCCGUGCGCAUCGGGUGCUCCUGGCAGCGGGGGGCUGCGGUCCUGAUCUGAAGGUCUCUGGGGACCUGUGGGUCUCCACGACUCUCAGCUGUUUACACAAGGAGGACACCGAGGCGACUCAGACGGGGGCUGCCGGCAGGGAGGGUGGAGGGGUGACUGGCGUGGAGUCCCAGGCUGGUGAGGGCCACAGAACCGCCCACCCUCCCAGCACAGCGGCCAGUGAAACAACUGAGAGCCACAGGCAAGCGCUGCCGUGAGGAGCCAACCGGGGACGGGGACUCAGGCCUCAGCGCUCCUGGGACAGAGCCGGGCUCAGGGAGGCACACGCUGCGGAGAGACGCUGGCACCUCCCAACGCUUGCUGCCCAAGGGACAAGGCCAGGAGCAGGCCAGAGAUCAGUGGACUGGGUGCCUGAUUCCCGGACCCCGGGCCAGUCCGCUUCCCACACAGCGCCACAGCACCGCGGCCGGCGGGUCACCAAGAAGAGGCUUCUUUGUGCCUGAGGUUCUGGCUCUAGGUGGGGGCAGCGCCUGGUGACGGCCUUCCUGCUGGCAGAGGCAGGGGGCAUCACAGGGCAGGACAGGGCAACGUGGCUGUGUCUCCUUUUCUGUCCCUCUUGUUAGGAAGCCACCAGGAUCAGCCACGGGGCUCCACCCCUGUGGCCAGAGCUCUCCCUCAUCCCCCACGGCCACCCCUCAAGCACCACCGGCCAUCGGUGCAGGGCCAGGAGGGAGAGCGCCCACUCCCUAGGUCCCCAGCCUCUCAGUACCUCACGUGGGGACAGAAUGUCAACCACAGCAGCCCCUCCCUGCCGCUCGCGGCCUGGCCCCCCACUGCCCUAUGUCCUGCUCCUCAACAAAGCAGCACACCUGUGUGUCCUGUGGCUCCAGUGACACAUUCUUGAUGCAGGAGGCUCAAGGCCAGGGCAGGGGGAGCCAGGGCGGGGGGGGCCAGG